rnacentral:misc_RNA from 1 species
GAUGAAGAACGUAGCGAAAUGCGAUAAGUAAUGUGAAUUGCAGAAUUCAGUGAAUCAUCGAAUCUUUGAACGCACCUUGCGCCCGCCAGUAUUCUGGCGGGCAUGCCUGUUCGAGCGUCAUUGCUGCCCUCAAGCACGGCUUGUGUGUUGGGCCCCGUCCUCCGAUCCCGGGGGACGGGCCCGAAAGGCAGCGGCGGCACCGCGUCCGGUCCUCGAGCGUAUGGGGCUUUGUCACCCGCUCUGUAGGCCCGGCCGGCGCUUGCCGAUCAACCCAAAUUUUUAUCCAGGUUGACCUCGGAUCAGGUAGGGAUACCCGCUGAACUUAAGCAUAUCAAUAAGCGGAGGA